rnacentral:other from 1 species
AUUCGGAUUUCAACCCACUGAUUUAUAUACAACCUUUCCCCUGAGUGAGUAUAGAGAAUCAUCGAAUUGCUGUGUGUAGUCUUUGCCCGUCAUCCUAUGAUGGGCUUUUUUUUUG